rfam:Gossypium hirsutum cultivar TM-1 chromosome 11, whole genome shotgun sequence
UGUUAAAAAAAUUCAUUCAUUUCUAAUACUAAAAACCAACUUGACUAACAGAAUAACCAAAUAGUGACACAUUAUGUGCCAUGUGUAUCUCAUAAAAAUGUAAAGAGAUUAAUUUUUAAUGGUAAAAAUAGAUGAAAUUUUUAAUA